rnacentral:tRNA from 1 species
GGCGGCGUAGCCAAGUGGUAAGGCAGAGCUCUGCAAAAGCUCGAUCACCAGUUCAAAUCUGGUCGCCGCCU